CCUACGGGAGGCAGCAGUGGGGAAUAUUGGACAAUGGGGGGAACCCUGAUCCAGCCAUGCCGCGUGUGUGAAGAAGGCCCUCGGGUUGUAAAGCACUUUCAGUGAGGAAGAACGCCUGGUGGUUAAUACCCAUCAGGAAAGACAUCACUCACAGAAGAAGCACCGGCUAACUCCGUGCCAGCAGCCGCGGUAAUACGGAGGGUGCGAGCGUUAAUCGGAAUUACUGGGCGUAAAGCGCGCGUAGGUGGCUUGAUAAGCCGGUUGUGAAAGCCCCGGGCUCAACCUGGGAACGGCAUCCGGAACUGUCAAGCUAGAGUGCAGGAGAGGAAGGUACAAUUCCCGGUGUAGCGGUGAAAUGCGUAGAGAUCGGGAGGAAUACCAGUGGCGAAGGCGGCCUUCUGGACUGACACUGACACUGAGGUGCGAAAGCGUGGGUAGCAAACAGGAUUAGAUACCCGAGUAGUC
rnacentral:rRNA from 1 species